rnacentral:pre_miRNA from 1 species
CUGCUCUUAGAUGCUCCGUUCUUGUGUAAUCUUGCAUAAUAGCAAUAAUUGCUAUUUAUUAUUGCUAUUAUGCAAGAUUACACAAGAACGGAGCAUCUAAGAACAGC